CAGUAGCCGCGGGAAUACGAAGGGGGCUAGCGUUGUUCGGAAUUACUGGGCGUAAAGCGCACGUAGGCGGAUAUUUAAGUCAGGGGUGAAAUCCCAGAGCUCAACUCUGGAACUGCCUUUGAUACUGGGUAUCUUGAGUAUGGAAGAGGUGAGUGGAAUCCCGAGUGUAGAGGUGAAAUUCGUAGAUAUUCGGAGGAACACCAGUGGCGAAGGCGGCUCACUGGUCCAUUACUGACGCUGAGGUGCGAAAGCGUGGGGAGCAAACAGGAUUAGAUACCCCUGUAGUCCCUGUCUCUUAUAC
rnacentral:rRNA from 1 species